UUAACCGCAAGGAGGGCGCUUACCACGGUAGGAUUCGUGACUGGGGUGAAGUCGUAACAAGGUAGCCGUAUCGGAAGGUGCGGCUGGAUCACCUCCUUUCUAG
rnacentral:rRNA from 1 species